UAUGCACUAUUCUCUUCAGUACGAAAGGACAAAGAAAAUAGGACCCACGUUCAAAACAAGUCCUCACCCCCAUUGAAACAAUAUUAAAUCAACGUACCCAAAGCGCUCGAAACCAGGGC
rnacentral:rRNA from 1 species